rnacentral:rRNA from 1 species
UAUUAUUCCAUUAUACCCAAGAACCCUUAAACAAUAUUGAGUAAUUCUUUACUACUAUAGAAGAUUUUAUGUUAAAACUAGUAACAGGAAGAAGAACUUCUUACAUAAUGCAAAUAUAAAUCAGACAGGACACCCCACUGAUAAUUAACACCAAUGAAGAAAAAGUAGUAACUUAUCAAGAAAACUCUACUAAACCUAUGUGUUAACCUAACACCAGAGCAUUCCAAAAAAGAUUUAAAGAAAGAGAAGGAACUCGGCAAAUAUUAACCUCGCCUGUUUACCAAAAACAUCGCCUCUUGAACAAAUAUAAGAGGUCCAGCCUGCCCAGUGACUCUGUUCAACGGCCGCGGUAUCCUAACCGUGCGAAGGUAGCGUAAUCACUUGUUCUUUAAAUAAGGACUAGUAUGAAUGGCACCACGAAGGUUAUACUGUCUCCUCUUUUUAAUCAGUGAAACUAAUCUCCCCGUGAAGAAGCGGGGAUAAAACUAUAAGACGAGAAGACCCUAUGGAGCUUUAAACCAUGUAGCACUUGCACCUAUCAAACACAAAUUUCAGAAAAAUACACUUCACCCAUGCAAGAUUGCUGCCAGUUUUAGGUUGGGGUGACCGCGGAGCAAAAAUAAACCUCCACAUUGAAAGGAACCCACUCCUUAGCCAAGAGUUACACCUCUACGCACCAUAAAAAUGACAUUAAUUGACCCAAUAAUUUGAUCAACGAACCAAGUUACCCUAGGGAUAACAGCGCAAUCCACUUUAAGAGCUCCUAUCGACAAGUGGGUUUACGACCUCGAUGUUGGAUCAGGGUAUCCCGGUGGUGCAGCCGCUACCAAAGGUUCGUUUGUU